AGUUUGAUCCUGGCUCAGAACGAACGCUGGCGGCAUGCCUAACACAUGCAAGUCGAACGAACCCUUCGGGGUUAGUGGCGCACGGGUGCGUAACGCGUGGGAACCUGCCUUUUGGUUCGGAAUAACAGUGAGAAAUUACUGCUAAUACCGGAUAAUGUCUUCGGUCCAAAGAUUUAUCGCCAUUAGAUGGGCCCGCGUAAGAUUAGCUAGUUGGUGGGGUAAAGGCCUACCAAGGCGACGAUCUUUAGCUGGUCUGAGAGGAUGAUCAGCCACACUGGGACUGAGACACGGCCCAGACUCCUACGGGAGGCGGCAGUGGGGAAUAUUGGACAAUGGGCGAAAGCCUGAUCCAGCAAUGCCGCGUGAGUGAUGAAGGCCUUAGGGUUGUAAAGCUCUUUUACUGGGGAUGAUAAUGACAGUACCCAGAGAAUAAGCUCCGGCUAACUCCGUGCCGGCAGCCGCGGUAAUACGGAGGGAGCUAGCGUUGUUCGGAAUUACUGGGCGUAAAGCGCACGUAGGCGGCUUUUUAAGUCAGGGGUGAAAUCCCGGGGCUCAACCCCGGAACUGCCCUUGAAACUGGGAAGCUAGAAUCUAGGAGAGGCGAGUGGAAUUCCGAGUGUAGAGGUGAAAUUCGUAG
rnacentral:rRNA from 1 species